rnacentral:rRNA from 1 species
AGGGUUUGAUCCUGGCUCAGGGUUAACGCUGGCGGCGUGCCUUACACAUGCAAGUCGAACGGGGCAUACAGCGAUGUAUGCUUAGUGGCGAACGGGUGAGGAAGACGCAGGGACCUACCGAGCAGAGGGGGAUACCCGCUGGAAACGGCGGAUAAAACCGCAUACGCCCGUGUGAAGAGCGCGGGGAAAAGCGCUACGGUGUUACUGGUCGAGGGACCUGCGGCCCAUCAGGUAGUUGGGGAGGUAACGGCUCACCAAGCCGACGACGGGUAUCUGGCGUGAGAGCGCGAACAGGCACAAGGACACUGAGAGACGGGUCCUACUCCUACGGGAGGCAGCAGUGGGGAAUUUUGGACAAUGGGCGCAAGCCUGAUCCAGCGACGCCGCGUGUCGGACGGAGUCCUUCGGGAUGUAAACGACUUUUGAUGGAGACGAAAGGGCAGCUCAGGGAAUGGGGCUGCGAUGACGGUAUCCAAUGAAUAAGCCCCGGCUAACUACGUGCCAGCAGCCGCGGUAAGACGUAGGGGGCAAGCGUUACCCGGAAUUACUGGGCGUAAAGGGAGCGUAGGCGGGAGGUCAAGUCCGGUGUGAAAGUCCCUGGCUCAACCAGGGGAUAGGGCUGGAAACUGACAAUCUUGAGUACAGCAGAGGAAGAGGGAAUUACCGGUGUAGGGGUGAAAUCCGUAGAGACCGGUAGGAAGGCCAGUGGCGAAGGCGCUUUUCUGGGCUGUUACUGACGCUGAGGCUCGAAAGCCAGGGGAGCAAACCGGAUUAGAUACCCGGGUAGUCCUGGCCGUAAACGAUGCUCACUAGGUGUGGGGCACAGAGCGUGUUCUGCGCUGAAGCAAACGCAAUAAGUGAGCCGCCUGGGGAGUACGUCCGCAAGGAUGAAACUCAAAGGAAUUGACGGGGGCCCGCACAAGCGGUGGAGCGUGUGGUUUAAUUCGACGUUAAGCGAAGAACCUUACCAGGUCUUGACAUAUCCGUGGUAGUGAACUGAAAGGGGAACGACGGAGGCGAAUGCCUUCGAGCGGAUACAGGUGGUGCAUGGUCGUCGUCAGCUCGUGCCGUGAGGUGUUGGGUUAAGUCCCGCAACGAGCGCA